GGCAGAUCUGAAACACAGAAAGACAGGAAGCAGGACUGAAGAACUUCCUAGAGACAGGACAACCUGCCCUUAAGAGCAACAUUUUGAACAUCCAGAAUAUAGCCACAACAACCUUCUGUGCCUAGACAAGGGUCUUAUUGCGUAUGAGUAGGAGGGGUCAAGGAAGAGAAGACACAGUCACAGAAAGAAGCUUAUUCUGAAAGGCAACAUGCUGACCACAAAGUUUGCACUCUAACUUGAUUUCCCAACAGAAGUACUUAGUGGAGAUAAUUGCUGAACUUUGGACUACUUUUCUGUUCAUUCAUUUGACAUGAAUCAUUAAAUAUACCUUGACAUUACCGAAAUUUCACAUGACAAAUAACAGUAAACCUUUUGUGCUAAA